UGCCCAAUAGUUUAAUUGAAAACAGUAGAUUGCAAGUCUAGAGAGUGUGUGUUUAUACUUGGGUUU
rnacentral:tRNA from 1 species